AUUGAACGCUGGCGGCAUGCUUUACACAUGCCAGUCGAACGGUAACAGGCCGCAAGGUGCUGACGAGUGGCGCACGGGUGCGUAAUGCAUCGGAACGUGCCCAGUCGUGGGGGAUAACUACUCGAAAGAGUAGCUAAUACCGCAUACGAUCUAUGGAUGACAGCGGGGGACCGUAAGGCCUCGCGCGAUUGGAGCGGCCGAUGUCAGAUUAGGUAGUUGGUGGGGUAAAGGCUCACCAAGCCAACGAUCUGUAGCUGGUCUGAGAGGACGACCAGCCACACUGGGACUGAGACACGGCCCAGACUCCUACGGGAGGCAGCAGUGGGGAAUGUUGGACAAUGGGCGCAAGCCUGAUCCAGCAAUGCCGCGUGCAGGAAGAAGGCCUUCGGGUUGUAAACUGCUUUUGUACGGAACGAAACGGCUCUGGUUAAUACCCGGGGCUAAUGACGGUACCGUAAGAAUAAGCACCGGCUAACUACGUG
rnacentral:rRNA from 1 species